UCCGGUUGAUCCUGCCAGAGGUUACUGCUAUCGAGGUCCGACUAAGCCAUGCGAGUCGAAUGUAGCAAUACAUGGCGUACUGCUCAGUAACACGUGGAUAACCUACCCUUGAGAUGGGGAUAAACCCGGGAAACUGGGUAUAAUACCUAAUAGAUCUCGACUGCUGGAAUGCAUCGAGAUCCAAAGCUCCGGCGCUCAAGGAUGGAUCUGCGGCCUAUCANGUAGUAGUGGGUGUAGUGUACCUACUAGCCUACGACGGGUACGGGUUGUGAGAGCAAGAGCCCGGAGAUGGAUUCUGAGACACGAAUCCAGGCCCUACGGGGUGCAGCAGGCGCGAAAACUUUACAAUGCUGGAAACAGCGAUAAGGGGACCUCGAGUGCCAGGUUACAAAUCUGGCUGUCGUGAUGCCUAAAAAGCAUUGCAUAGCAAGGGCCGGGCAAGACCGGUGCCGGCCGCCGCGGUAACACCGGCGGCUCGAGUGGUAACCGUUAUUAUUGGGUCUAAAGGGUCUGUAGCCGGCCGGAUAAGUCUCUUGGGAAAUCUGGCAGCUUAACUGUCAGGCUUUCAGGAGAUACUGUCUGGCUCGAGGCCGGGAGAGGUGAGAGGUACUUCAGGGGUAGGGGUGAAAUCUUGUAAUCCUUGAAGGACCACCAGUGGCGAAGGCGUCUCACCAGAACGGACCUGACGGCAAGGGACGAAAGCUAGGGGCACGAACCGGAUUAGAUACCCGGGUAGUCCUAGCCGUAAACGAUACUCGCUAGGUGUCGGCAACGGUGCGACCGUUGUCGGUGCCGUA
rnacentral:rRNA from 1 species